rnacentral:lncRNA from 1 species
UAAGCUCCUAUCAACGUUCAAUUUCCCUAAAAAGAGCCAAAACCAUCGCCCUUCCUUUAUUUCUUCUGAUCCAUCUUCCCCUUCAUGCCAAGAACGACCAACUAAUAAACCUAGCUGCAUCAGUAUAGUCUGCCGCUAGCCUGUUCAAGAUUCACUCAUUUUUUCCCGCCCAAGCCCGUGAAUCCGCAAAAACCAGAGAAAUCAGUCCCUAAAUUGUGAUGCAACGGAAAAACUUUUUAAACCCGCCAUUAAAUUGGCCUGGAAAAAAAGAUUCAUCUCAUGUUUUCUUUUCAAACAUCAAAUCAAUUUUAUCACAUGUUGGUUUAUUUUGAGUUUCGAAUUCAGAUUUUUGAGUCUGAAUUCACCUAUAAAUAUGAGCGUUUCUCCAUCUUCACGGAGGGGGAGGGAAGAUAUGAAAAAAAAGGGACGUGAACAGGUUCCAAAAUUAGGGGUGUCAAAUUUCCUAGUGCUUUCUUUAGAUAUUGUCCAAAUUUAAAGUUUAGGAGUUGGUUCAUAGUCGCCGAAAACUAUCCCUACGUCUACGUUCCAGUUUGCUGCACCCGAAAAGGUGCGGACACACCCCUUUCUUGCUUUGUUCUUAUUUUUUUUUUCUCUUCAUCUAUUUUCAAUUCUAUUAAAUAUGAGAGGAUUUUGAUUUCAAGCUAUGUUGUUGUUGGUAACCUGGCCCUGCGGGUAGAUAUUAUGGUUUGUGAAUCGGAAAAUUAUUUGGUGCUAAAUACAUGAGUUUAUACAUUUGUUUAUCUUGUUUGAUUGUUGUUGUCCUUUGGGAAUCUCAUCGAUGAGCGUGAUUUGAAUAUGAAAGUUCAUGUUGUGUGUAUGCUAGUUUGUUAGUAUAUGAAUAAGUCGCUUCUGGGUUUGUUGUUAACUCUUAAAAAAAUGAAUUUGGGCGUGAAUUUGACCAAGCUUGUGUCUUCGUUAUUGAUCCCAAAAUACGCUAAUAUUUGAUUUCAAUUUAAUUACGUCGUCACUGAUUUGUGGGAAAAUGCUCGAUUCCUUUUUUUCCCUAUUUGGUCGGUGUUGUCUUUCAUUAUGUGUGGAUUAAUUUCUCAAAUUUGAUGUUGUUUUAAAUUUUCUUAAUUUGAGGAUAUUCCCUUCUUACUGUUGAAAGUUGAUAUGUGCAAGGAAAAUGUGUUCCAUCUUAAUCGCUCAAACGUUUUCUAAUUGCUUUUGUAAGAGGUCUUUUUUAAAGCCAAAAUAUCAUUUGAGAAUAUUGUGGUAGCAAUUGAAACUUUUGAAAUAGUUUGCAUUGUUUAUCUUUGGUAAAAUUGAGUAGAUGAAAAAUUUUCUUGCCUCAAGCGAAAAUAUGAAUGUAUGUUUAUUACUAUGAUAGAGCUUUUUCAUUAGGAUUUCUUUUAUUCAAAUGUGUAUUGAUUAAUAUUGUAGGUGGAUUGCAUCGUAUGCUUUUUUUGUAAGAAAAUUACAUGUGGGUGUUGUAAAUGUAUCGUGAAAUAUGUUCCCCCCAAAAGUAACUUGAUCCCAUUUUUUGUUGUGUUCUACUGUAUUAAAAAAAAAAGGUAAAGGAUCAAAUGUUUAAGUAAAUAAAAAUAAAAGGAGAGAUUUUUUUUUAUUCUUGAAUGUGCAGAUUUCUUAUUUUUUUCUUUUUUGCUGGUGGUUCUUACUAAUAUUAUUUGCCUUAAUAUGGUCUCAACUAGGGCGGCUUAUCGGACGAAUCAGAUGAACCAUUACACUUAAUGAUUUGGCUUAACGGUUAUCGGUUUUAAAAUAUACAAAUCCUUUAGCCAACCGAUAAGAUAUCAGUUGGUUCGGUAACGGAUAAACAAUUAUCGGACAGUUUAUUGGACAUCCAUAAUUUGUAAGACCCCACAAAAUUCUCUCGUAGAAUGAGCCUUAGGGCAUGUCAAAUGAGGCGUAAUUCCGAUCCUAAAAGAUUGAGAAGUGACUUCCUAAGUGAGUAACAUGUUAACCAUAUAGAAUUUCCCUAAUUUUGUCUUUUUAUCACAUGGGAAUUUUGAUAAGCUUUCCAUCGAUAUAAGAUUCGCCCAAAUCCGAUACCCGGGUAAGAAGUUAUGGCUAAUUUAAAUCCUAGUCGUAAAACAACGUCAUUUUAGUGCUUGGUACAUCGCGGAGAGGGUCUAUUUGACAAUUAUCAAAUUCCAGUGGAACUCCGCAAUAGUGGCGCAUCGCGGAGGACCCCAAUUUCUCAAUAGUCAAUUUCCAGUGGCCUAGCACAAUUGUGACGCGUCGUGCUGAAGUUCCAGGUCCCAACCAGUGGGACAAUGCGAUGGCUCUGCAUUGUGGUGACUCCCAGAUUCCCAUUUGUCAAUUUCCAGUGAGCCACCAUGAUAGUGGCGUGUCGCGGUGGCCCAUAAAAUCGAGUUCCCAAUUUAAUUUUUUUGAGCUUCGUACAAAGGUUAAAAGGGUCACUUUGAACUUUUUCCAAGCCUCUUAUACCGUACAAACACCAAAUUAAAGUCAUUUACAAGAAUUCUAUGAAGUUUUUCUCAAGUUUUCUCUCAACAAAAACCCUAAGUAUCCAAAACCUCUUCCAAGAAAUUCAAUAAUCGAUCAUAGAUUUUCUAAAUUGAGUCAAGAUUCAAGGUUCCCAAGUCAAGGGCUUCAAGAACACUCAUUCAAGAGUACGAAUAGAGUCCCAAAAGUGAGAGUUCAUCCAAAUCUUCUAAUUCAAGGUAUGUGGGAUUUUGAACAAGGGUAAUCCUUUCACCUUUGUGCCCAAAGGCUUAUUUAAACUACAAUUCUCUGCAAUUUAUGAGAUUUUACAUGAAAUUAAAUUGGGUUUUUUCAUCAAUUGUUAUUGGUUGCAAGCUUUUGAUGUUUUCCAUGAAUUGAGAGUCUAAUGGCAUGAUUUUUACAUGUUUUCUUGAGAAAUUACAGCUGGAUCUAUACCCCAUGAUUUUAAUCCUUGAGAAUUUAAUAGUUGAAAUGUUUGAGCUAUUGAAGCAUAUGAGUAUGUUGAGAUUAUGAGCUAAAUUGCUGUAAAUUCCAGAUUUUUAUAUGAUUUAUUAAUCUAGAUGCUAUCUAUUAUGCAUUAUGAUGAAUUUUAACUUGAGAUGGAAUUAUGGGUCAUUAAGUCCUACUUGAGACUUGCAAUUUUAUGAACUAUUGUGCUAUAAGCAGCCAUCAUUUGAGUAUUUUGAGAUUAUUGAGAAAUGUUUUGACGUAAUGGUCAUAGAGUUUUGAAAUCCACUCUACCACAUGAGAUUAUAUAUUUUAUUGUUGGGUUCUUAUGAACCAUAAGAUUAUUUUGAAAGUGGAUUUCCAUGAAAUGAGCGAGAUAAACUUAAGGGAGUAGUAUUUAGCAUCGAGUUCGGUAAGUUACUAUAGUUUCUUACCCCAGAACUAUGUACCAUCGUAGGUUUGAGAUUUUGGAUCUAAGGCCGAGGUAUUAGGCCCGAGGCUGAGAUAAGUGAUCACUAAAUUGAGGUUAUACUACCUGGCAAGAGUAUGACGCUCCUCCCCAGCGUGGAGUCUCUUCCUUAGGAGGACAAAAUAUUGGACUCCAUGUAGCUCGCAUGGUUUAUAUCGGUUAAGAGAACCUCCCUUGAUACAAGUUAUUUUCCUAAUAGUGAAGUUGCGGAUUUUCUCCCUAAGACUAAAGUAUUUUCUCUUGAUAUAAGUAUUUUUCCCUAAAGCUUGAAUCGAGAUAUUUUCCUAAAGUGAAUGAAAUGCCUUCAAGUAUGUUUCAAAGUUAUAUGAUUCUGAAUUUCAAGUACUUGAGUUCAAAGGAGUUAUGAGUUCUUGAGCAUUAAAGAAGUUUUACUCUCCAUGAAACAUAUGAAUAAGUUGAAAGUAUUAUUUAAAGUUUCCUUUAGCCUAUGGGUAAUGAGAAUAAGAGAAGAUUACCGAUUUCAAAGUUAAACUAUGAUGACUCUCAAGAUUUGUAUUACAUGCUCCAUUCUACAUGAUUCAUGAGCUUUACAUUUUAUACUUAUUCGAGUCAUGUGAGUCAUUACUUAUUGCAUGCAUGAUUUGAUUAAAUAGUAUUGAUGUUGUUUUAUAUAAAUGCAUGCACCCCCACAUACUCAGUAUAUUCCCAAGUGCUGAUCCAUAUAUACGUCUAUGUGCUACAUUGUCUUAUAAUAUAGGUUCAGGUGCUCAGUCCCAGCCUUGUCGGUGACUUUUGAGUACCUCUGUCUACAUUCCUACAGUGGUGAGUCCUCAUGGUUCGAGGACCUAUCUUCAGAUAUUUCUACAUUUGAGAGACUUUGUUUUUACUUUCAAUUCAUUUUGAGUCAGUUGGGGACCUGUCCCAAUGGCUCUCUAGUUCAUGGAUUAGUAGAGGCUUUGUCAGACUAGUUAUCAGAUUGUGAUUGUGUUGAGAAUUCCAGUAUUGUGG